rnacentral:misc_RNA from 1 species
AAGUCGUAACAAGGUUUCCGUAGGUGAACCUGCGGAAGGAUCAUUAUUGAAUACUCUUGAUGGGUUGUAGCUGGCUCUUCGGGGCAUGUGCACGCCUGUCUUGACUUUAUCCAUCCACCUGUGCACCUUUUGUAGUCUUGGAGGUUGAGAGCAGUCGACUAUCGGAUACUUUCCGGAUGUGAGGAAUUGCUGAGUGCGAAAGCAUACAGCUCUUCUCAAAUGACUUGCAACACUUCUCCUUCAAGUACUAUGUAUUCAUAUACCACAUAGUAUGUUGUAGAAUGUGAUCAAUGGGCUUAUAUGCCUAUAAUAAUCAUAUACAACUUUCAGCAACGGAUCUCUUGGCUCUC